AUCUGUCAUGCUCAGCGGCCUUAGGGUGAUGGUCUCUUCCUUCUUCUUUGGAAGAUCCGAUGGAGUCUCGCCUUUUUCACGCUUCAGCUUCUCCUGAAGACAUUGAAGAUAAAAAGCGUGCACAGUGAAUUCAUUCACAAAAUUCAUCAUGAAUUAAAUUCUUAAAAUGCUGUGGUUUUGUUUGGUUUGUUUACCAGCUCCUUCUUUCUUUCCUUCUGGAUUAGCUCCCUCACAGGGCGAUAUGCUGCCGUCGUGCACAGGUUCUGUUAAAGAAGAAUUCAGGAUCGAGCAGAAUUGAUCUCUACUUUAGUUCUCAAUACAACGAUACACAGCUCUCUUACACAUUCUCAGAAAAAAUAAAUCGAGAGUUCAUGUUACUGACCUUGAGAUCACUUCCACUAUAUCCUUCUGUCAUGGUUGCUAGCUCCUUGAAGUUCAGCCUUUCAUCAACUUUCUCCUUUGACAGAAGUCGCCGCAUUAUGAGUUCCCGGCUUUCCAUUGAUGGCAGACCUACCAUGAUUCUGUUUAAAGGAAGAGGACACAGCUCAGGGAACAAACUGAGGGAUGCAUAAACGUUACUAGUAUCUUGGAGAAAAUAUACAAACCUUCGCUCGAACCUACGGAUAAUAGCCUCAUCAAGAUCAAAAGGCCUGUUGGUCGCAGCAAGAACAAGAAUUCUCUGGUCCGACCUUGACAAGAGGCCAUCCCAGUGUGUCAUAAAUUCAUUCUUGAUCUUCCUCAUUGCCUCGUGCUCUCCAGCUCUGUUACGCUGCCCAAGCAUGCUAUCAACUUCAUCGACGAAAAUGAUGGUUGGUGAUACUUUAGCAGCUAACGUGAACAGUGCUCGAACAUUCUUCUCAUCUUCACCAAACCACUUUGAUGUGAUAGUUGACAUAGAGACAUUUAUAAAACUUGCUUGAGCUUCAUUGGCUAUAGCCUUGGCAAGCAUAGUCUUGCCGGUUCCUGGAGGACCAAAGAGUAAUAUACCUCUGCAGGGCUUAAGAAGACCACCUUUGAAGAGGUCAGGUCGUCUCAGAGGCAGCAUGACAAGCUCAUGAAGGGAUUCUUUGAUAUCAUCCAAGGCACCAAUAUCAUCAAAUGAAACUCCAAUCUCAUUUGCAGAUGGAGGUGGAUUAUCCUUCUUCUCCAGUUCUGUUUUGCUUUCAACCCUUGGAGCAGGGGCACCAGCAGCUGGGGGUCGAACAGGUGGCAGCGAUGAUGCAGGUUUUGUUUCUGAUUUUGCAGUGGUUGGAGCAAUUGCCUUUUCAGAAGCCUAUGUAUUUGGUGUAUGGUAUGUGAAUACAUACAUUUGUAAAUGCUUCCGAGACAAGUGAAAUGAGAAAUCCUAGGGAAAUUAAGCA